rnacentral:rRNA from 1 species
UGGAGAAUCUUGGACAAUGGGCGCAAGCCUGAUCCAGCCAUGCCGCGUGGAUGAUGAAGGCCUUAGGGUUGUAAAAUCCUUUUCGUUGGGGACGAUAAUGACGGUACCCAAAGAAGAAGCUCCGGCUAACUUCGUGCCAGCAGCCGCGGUAAUACGAAGGGGGCUAGCGUUGUUCGGAUUUACUGGGCGUAAAGCGCGUGUAGGCGGACUUGUAAGUUGGGGGUGAAAUCCCGAGGCUCAACCUCGGAACUGCCUCCAAAACUACAAAUCUGGACCUAAGUAGAGGCAAGUGGAAUUGCGAGUGUAGAGGUGAAAUUCGUAGAUAUUCGCAGGAACACCAGUGGCGAAGGCGACUUGCUGGACUUAUGGUGACGCUGAGACGCGAAAGCGUGGGGAGCAAACAGGAUUAGAUACCCCGGUAGUCCCUGAGCGGGCUGGCAAGGCGCAU